rnacentral:rRNA from 1 species
UUAAAUUGAAGAGUUUGAUCAUGGCUCAGAUUGAACGCUGGCGGCAGGCCUAACACAUGCAAGUCGAACGGUAACAGGAAGCAGCUUGCUGCUUUGCUGACGAGUGGCGGACGGGUGAGUAAUGUCUGGGAAACUGCCUGAUGGAGGGGGAUAACUACUGGAAACGGUAGCUAAUACCGCAUAAUGUCGCAAGACCAAAGAGGGGGACCUUCGGGCCUCUUGCCAUCGGAUGUGCCCAGAUGGGAUUAGCUAGUAGGUGGGGUAACGGCUCACCUAGGCGACGAUCCCUAG